GUGGGGAAUUUUGGACAAUGGGCGCAAGCCUGAUCCAGCAAUGCCGCGUGCAGGAAGAAGGCCUUCGGGUUGUAAACUGCUUUUGUACGGAACGAAACGGUCCUGGCUAAUAUCCGGGGCUAAUGACGGUACCGUAAAAAUAAGCACCGGCUAACUACGUGCCAGCAGCCGCGGUAAUACGUAGGGUGCGAGCGUUAAUCGGAAUUACUGGGCGUAAAGCGUGCGCAGGCGGUGCUGUAAGACAGGCGUGAAAUCCCCGGGCUCAACCUGGGAAUUGCGCUUGUGACUGCAGUGCUGGAGUGCGGCAGAGGGGGAUGGAAUUCCGCGUGUAGCAGUGAAAUGCGUAGAUAUGCGGAGGAACACCGAUGGCGAAGGCAAUCCCCUGGGCCUGCACUGACGCUCAUGCACGAAAGCGUGGGGAGCAAACAGGAUUAGAUACCCGGGUAGUCC
rnacentral:rRNA from 1 species